rnacentral:rRNA from 1 species
CCUACGGGGGGCAGCAGUGGGGAAUAUUGGACAAUGGGGGCAACCCUGAUCCAGCCAUGCCGCGUGUGUGAAGAAGGCCCUCGGGUUGUAAAGCACUUUCAGUGAGGAAGAACGCCUGGUGGUUAAUACCCAUCAGGAAAGACAUCACUCACAGAAGAAGCACCGGCUAACUCCGUGCCAGCAGCCGCGGUAAUACGGAGGGUGCGAGCGUUAAUCGGAAUUACUGGGCGUAAAGCGCGCGUAGGUGGCUUGAUAAGCCGGUUGUGAAAGCCCCGGGCUCAACCUGGGAACGGCAUCCGGAACUGUCAAGCUAGAGUGCAGGAGAGGAAGGUAGAAUUCCCGGUGUAGCGGUGAAAUGCGUAGAGAUCGGGAGGAAUACCAGUGGCGAAGGCGGCCUUCUGGACUGACACUGAGACUGAGGUGCGAAAGCGUGGGUAGCAAACAGGAUUAGAUACCCGAGUAGUC